rnacentral:rRNA from 1 species
CAGGCCUAACACAUGCAAGUCGAGCGCCUCGCAAGAGGAGCGGCAGACGGGUGAGUAACACGUGGGAAUCUACCUUUUGCUACGGAACAACUCCGGGAAACUGGAGCUAAUACCGUAUGUGCCCUUUGGGGGAAAGAUUUAUCGGCAAGAGAUGAGCCCGCGUCGGAUUAGCUAGUUGGUGGGGUAAAGGCCUACCAAGGCGACGAUCCGUAGCUGGUCUGAGAGGAUGAUCAGCCACACUGGGACUGAGACACGGCCCAGACUCCUACGGGAGGCAGCAGUGGGGAAUAUUGGACAAUGGGGGCAACCCUGAUCCAGCCAUGCCGCGUGAGUGAUGAAGGCCCUAGGGUUGUAAAGCUCUUUCACCGGUGAAGAUAAUGACGGUAACCGGAGAAGAAGCCCCGGCUAACUUCGUGCCAGCAGCCGCGGUAAU